rnacentral:SRP_RNA from 1 species
GCCAGGUGUGUGGCACGCACCUGUAGUCCCAGCUACUUGGGAGGCUGAGGCAGGAGAAUCACUUGAACUCAGGAUGCGGUGGGUGCAGUGAGCCCAGAUUGCACCACUGCACUCCCGCCUGGGUGACAGAGGGAGACUCUGUCUCAA